rnacentral:lncRNA from 1 species
AACACUUUGAGGUUGACCUUUUCUUCCUAAGGGAAAAGAUUGCUGCAGGUAUCAUCAAAACAGCAGGCAUUCAAUCUGAAUUUCAACUUGCUGAUCUUUUCACAAAAGGCCUCAUGCCAAGAAGCCACGACGAAAUGUGUUUUUGGCUUUGGGCUCCUUUCCUCGUUAUGGGCUGUUCUUCUUGCUUUGGGCUUGAGGGCUUCGUGUGAUCCGGCUAUAUAUGAGUCUCCUUGGGAUCCUGGAUGAAUUUGUCUCACACUACUCCUUCUCGAACAUUACUGCAUCUGCUCUCACUUGGUUCCUCACACGUACAUUCGUGAGGGUUUUGAUCUCUUUCGUGUUAACCUUUUGAUUACAUUUGUACACCAGUCAAUCUGUGAUGACUUGGUGAUUUCUUU